GGGCACAUGGUGUAGUUGGUUAUUCACAUCCGCUUAGCAUGACGGUCAAAGAAGCUGAUGAGCAUUGCGGGGGGUGCUGGGUUCAAUUCCCAGUGUGUCCA